AGUUGGUAAGGUAAUGGCUUACCAAGGCCACGAUCAGUAGCUGGUUUGAGAGAACGAUCAGCCACACUGGGACUGAGACACGGCCCAGACUCCUCCGGGAGGCAGCAGUGAGGAAUUUUCCGCAAUGGGCGAAAGCCUGACGGAGCAAUACCGCGUGAGGGAUGAAGGAUUUUGGUCUGUAAACCUCUUUUCUCAAGAAAGAAGUUCUGACGGUACUUGAGGAAUAAGCAUCGGCUAACUCCGUGCCAGCAGCCGCGGUAAUACGGGGGAUGCAAGCGUUAUCCGGAAUCAUUGGGCGUAAAGCGCCUGUAGGUUGUUUAAUAAGUCUGUUGUUAAAGACUAGGGCUUAACCCUAGAAAAGCAAUGGAAACUACUAGACUAGAGUAUGGCAGGGGUAGAGGGAAUUUCUAGUGUAGCGGUGAAAUGCGUAGAUAUUAGAAAGAACACCGGUGGCGAAAGCGCUCUACUGGACCAUUACUGACACUCAGAGGCGAAAGCUAGGGUAGCAAAAGGGAUUAGAUACCCCUGUAGUCCUAGCCGUAAACGAUGGAUACUACAUGUUGUGUUUAUUUCACAGUAUGGUAGCUAACGCGUUAAGUAUCCCGCCUGGGGAGUACGCUCGCAAGGGUGAAACUCAAAGGAAUUGACGGGGGCCCGCACAAGCGGUGGAGCAUGUGGUUUAAUUCGAUGCAACGCGAAGAACCUUACCAGGGCUUGACAUACUGCGAAUCUUUCCGAAAGGAAAGAGUGCCUUCGGGAAUGCAGAUACAGGUGGUGCAUGGCUGUCGUCAGCUCGUGUCGUGAGAUGUUGGGUUAAGUCCCGCAACGAGCGCAACCCUUGUUUUUAGUUACCAAUUCGUUGGGUUUUCUAGAAAGACUGCCGGUGACAAACCGGAGGAAGGUGAGGAUGACGUCAAGUCAGCAUGCCCCUUAUGUCCUGGGCUACACACGUGCUACAAUGGUUAGGACAAAGAGUUGCGAGCUUGUGAAAGUCAGCUAAUCUCRUAAACCUAGCCCAAGUUCAGAUUGUAGGCUGCAACUCGCCUACAUGAAGUUGGAAUCGCUAGUAAUCGCUGGUCAGCCAUACAGCGGUGAAUCCGUUCCCGGGCCUUGUACACACCGCCCGUCACACCAUGGGAGCUGGUCAUACCCGAAACCGUUAGCUUAA
rnacentral:rRNA from 1 species